CUCUCCUAAAUCUUUUCUGUCCCCAAAAAAUAAUUAUGCCCCAAAAUAUCCCACUAAGUUAAGUUUUACCCAAAUUACAUGAAAACUCCCGUACUUCUUCCCUAAAACAGGCUCUAGUCAUCUAGUUAAGCAGAUUAGGGUAGUUUUUGUGCAAAUUACUGAUGGAAAUACUUAAUUUCUUCUAAUUGCUCUUCUCAAAAGUCAAAACCCUCCUUAAUUGGGUUUGGUGGCCGUCAGUUUCAAUUGGAAAGUUCGUUUGCUUAGGGUUACAACUGCUAAAAAUUUGUUGCUGGUUCUGCAAUUUCAUCCUCUUCAAGAAGAGACACACAUUGGCAAAUUUUAUUUAAGAGCGCAAAGCAGAGAAAUACACUUUACAAGAUUACCUAUGGUGAACUUGAAGUUGGGUUUGGCCUAAGAUAAGUGUCAUGACUAGGUUUUCAAAUGAUCCUUCCGAGGCUUGGAUGGAUUUACCAAGGUAUAGCAAAGAGUAUAUUGAUGGUGUUCAACAUUUUUUGAAUUUUGCUUAUUCUGAUGGAGAUCCUCAGGGCGAAGAUAUUCAAUGCCCGUGUGCAAAGUGUUGUAACAUCCCUUGGUGUCAAAUGAAUGUAGUAUAUGAUCAUUUAAUAUGCUACAGUUUUGUUAAAGGUUAUACAGGAUGGAUUAAUCAUGGGGAAUAAAAAAUUCCAAUAGAUGUUGAUGA